rnacentral:rRNA from 1 species
AAUAUUGGUCAAUGGGCGGAAGCCUGAACCAGCCAAGUAGCGUGCAGGAUGACGGCCCUAUGGGUUGUAAACUGCUUUUAUAGGGGGAUAAAGUGAGGUAUGCAUACCUUUUUGCAUGUACCCUAUGAAUAAGGACCGGCUAAUUCCGUGCCAGCAGCCGCGGUAAUACGGAAGGUCCGGGCGUUAUCCGGAUUUAUUGGGUUUAAAGGGAGCGUAGGCUGGAUGCUAAGCGUGACGUGAAAUGCCGUGGCUCAGCCAUGGCACUGCGUCGCGAACUGGUGUUUUUGAGUAUGCAGGAGGCAGGCGGAAUUCGUGGUGUAGCGGUGAAAUGCUUAGAUAUCACGAGGAACUCCGAUUGCGAAGGCAGCUUGCUGCUGCUUUACUGACGCUGAAGCUCGAAGGCGCGGGUAUCGAACA